ensembl:lncRNA
AUGGUAGAAGGGGCUAGACAGCUCUCUAGGAUCUGUUUUAUUUAUUUAUUUAUUAUUAUCAUUAUUAAUUUUUUUUUUUUUUACACAGUCUCACUCUGUUACCCAGGCUGGAAUGCAGUGGCACGACCUCGACUCACUACAACCUCUGCCUCUAGAGUUCAAGUGAUUCUUUUGUCUCAGCCUCCAGAGCAGGUGGGAUUACAGGUGUGCCCCACCACGCCUGGCUAAUUUUUGUAUUUUCAGUAGAGAUGGGGUUUCACCAUAUUGGCCAGGCUGGUCUCGAACUCUCGACCUUGUGAUCCGCCUGCCUCAGCCUCCCAAAGUGCUGGGAUUACAGGCAUGAGCCACGGCGCCCAGCCUAUCAUUAGUUCUUACAUGUUUGGGAUAAGCGGUGGAGUUAGGAGCAAUUUUUUGUGGGCAGGGGGUGGGUCUCACAAAGUACAUUCUCAAGGGUGGGGAGAAUAUUACAAAGUAUGUUAUCACAAGGGCGGGGAAGGUGUAUUAUCAUAAGGUCAAUUGAUCAGCUAGGGUGGGGCAGGAACAGAUCACAAUGGUGGAAUGUCAUCUUUUGUGGUUCUUCAGUUGCUUCAGGCUAUCUGGAUGUAUACAUGCAGGUCACAGGGGAUAUAAUGACUUAGCUUGACACGCUUCGGUGAGCCAUGAUUGUGCCAGUGCACUCCAGUCUCGGUGACAGAGCAAGACGCUAUCUCAAACAAACAACAACAACAAAACAACCAGAAGGCCGGGCGCGGUGGCUCACGCCGGUAAUCCCAGCACUUUGGGAGGCUGAGGCAGGCGGAUCACAAGGUCGGGAGUUCUGAAGAAAGAAUUUGACUGAGGAGCAAUAAGGCAGAAAAAGAGACAAGGCAAGUUUCAGAGCAGGAGUGGAAGUUUAUUUAAAAGGCCUUUAGAAUAGGAAAGAAAGGAAAGCACGCUCGGAAGAGUCCCAAGCCAUCACUGAGGUCAACUGUGAUAUUGACCUUGAUCCUAGGACUUUAUAGGCUGGCUCCUUUCCCAUGAUUCUUCCCUUAGGGUGGGCUGCCUGCAUGCGCAGUGCCCUCCUUAUCAUUGGGAAGUGAGCACAGCGCAGUAUGUAGGCAGGUGCACGCAUGCCCAUCUGAGGCUUUCUUGCCUUUUCCGAUAGAGUCCUCUUGGAAGGUCAUACUCCCCGAUUUUGUCUCUUAAUGCAUAUGCCCAAGAAGUUGCUUCUCCCUGUCAUCUGCAUUCAACUAACACUUUAGUGCAACAGGUGUGGGCCAUCAGGAAGUGGCCUCUCCCCGGCACCGGCUGCCAAUUAAUCACUAUUAGAGGCAAUAUGCAUUCCUAGUGGGUGAGGGAAGAGCCCUCUCCUGCCCUGCUCAUGCCUAACUACCUGUAACAAACCUUGCAAAUAUUAAGCCAGCCACCAAAAGACCAUAUAAUUCCAUUUAUAUUAAAUGUCCAGAUUAGUUAAAUCUAGAGAGACAGAAAGUAGGUUCUUGGUUGGCUAGGGCUGGAGGAGGUGGGAGGAUCAGGGGUGAUAGCUAAAAGAUACAAGUUUCUUCUUUGGAGUGGUAAAAGAUGUUCUCAAAUAGUGCAGAUGGUUGCCCAAGUCUGUUAAUAUACUAAAAAGCAUUGAACACUUCAAAUGGGUGUAUUAUACGGCAUGUGAUUACAGCCUAAUAAAUAAAUAGUAUGUCCUGCUGUAUCCUUUAGGGCCUCUGAGAAAUGGAGAGGGCUCCAUCUGAAGCCAGACUGAUUGAGUUCCGAUCCUGCUUCCAUUUUCCCCGCAGGUAACUCCUUCCUUAACAGCAUCACGGGGUGAUACUCUCUAUCCGGAAAGGUCAUUGUAAUUUUUAAAAACAUUAAAAACAUACACCAGGGUUAAUCAUGUGCAGUGUGUGAUACACAGACGCUCUGAAACACUACUGCACACACACACACGCACAUGGCGCCUCUGGGGAGGUUCUGAAAGAACCAGAUCUGGAGAACUGAUCGUGUCCCUGGUCUCGGCCCUCGCCCUCCUUGUUUCUUAGACUCUAAAGCAAGCAGGCAGCAGAGCAGUCCUUGAAAUCCAGAGUCAAGAAAAAGCCCUGCACCCCUUGGUCCGAGAGCCGCAAGGAGCCGGGCCUAAGCGCCUGGCGAGGCCGCCCUACCCAGCAGAGGCAGUUGCUGUGUAACUCGGGCACGAGACACCCAGCCUCACCCGCUGCUGUUAACCGACAGCCGCAACGGUUCCCGCCCCGCCCAGGUCGGAGAACAAUGCUGCACCCUGCCCGUAGAGCCUCGCGGUGCCGCGCCCUGGAGCGGGCCUGCCGGGAAAUGUAGUUUCCGAAGCCCCGCCCUUGCCGCCCCGUGGCUUGCCGGCCGGGAGCUCCAAGCAACUACAAGUUCCAUCACGCUCUGCGAGGCCUUGAUCUCCAGGCUUUUGCA